UACGAAGGGGGCUAGCGUUGUUCGGAUUUACUGGGCGUAAAGCGCACGUAGGCGGGUUGUUAAGUCAGGGGUGAAAUCCUGGAGCUCAACUCCAAAACUGCCUUUGAUACUGGCAACCUAGAGGCUGGAAGAGGUUAGUGGAAUUCCCAGUGUAGAGGUGAAAUUCGUAGAUAUCGGGAGGAACACCAGUGGCGAAGGCGGCGAUCUGGGAAGAUACUGACGCUGAGGUGCGAAAGCGUGGGGAGCAAACAGG
rnacentral:rRNA from 1 species